CAAGCCAUGCACUAGGAUGAAAAUUGGUGUUUUGAAGCAUGGAUUUACCAGAGAUUCCCUAGGGAGCAGAAGGAGUUAAUGCUGUUUUCCAGCCCGCCUAAUUUACUCCAAAAGGAAUAGGCAGCAGCAAAUGAAGCUGCUGGUGCUGCUGGGUCACGUUAUCAGCAAAUAACAGCAUAAUUGCCCUAACCUUUAACCACUGCCAGUUGGGAGCCAUGGAAGGGUUUGGACAUUACUGAAGCAGUCACCCAUGACCUUCUAACCCUCUACUCCUCCCACUGUGCCCUGGUUGCCUCCUAGAAGUGAUACAUUUCCUGACCUCCUGUGAUCUGGUCAACAAAUACCAGUGAAAGUAUAGAAAGUCGCUUCCAUGUAUAAUACUCCUACACACAGAGGUACACACCUCUGUGUACAUGCUUCCACUUAUUUUUCUAUCUUUGGUUCAGAAGAAACAAUUGCAAUAGAACCUUGGAAUCAAAGUUUCAGGAUCCGUGUUUGUAAUGGAAGAGGUGGAGAUUCUGGUUCAACCCAGAAUAACUGUGUAAUUGACCAGUACUGAUGUUUGCGAAGAGGCGGUGUGUUCAAUCUCAGGAGAUGUUACAAAAGAAGCAUUAUCGAAAGAGAACAGUAGAUGGAUGUCAGAGGCAGAUGAUUUAAGACUCCUUAAAACCUGAGGUUCAUGAUUCAGCGCACACUGGAAGCAUUCAGAUGGUGUUUAUUACACAAACACUAUGCACUCAGCAGGAAUUUGGGAGCCCUGUGGUCUCCUUAACAAGGUAUAAUGGAGAUGCUAAGGAGCUGAACUAGAAAAAAAAAGAAUAAGAAAUAUUUUAGACAAGGAAAAACUAGACAAAUUUCAGCAAAUGUUUCAUAUGCAGAGGCUUGUGAAAGGGAAACUGACAUGGACACAAGGUGCUUGUUCAAAGGAAGGAAGUUUAGGAAGCGUCACUCAACUGUGGAACCUAUACUUCAACACAUUUUCCUAGAAUGAGUCCAGGGAACGAGGACACCAAUGACAACAGGGCAAAAAACAGAGCCUAUCUCUAUUUGAUAGUAGUAAUAUUAGUAGUUAUCGUGGUAUAGGAUGAAACCUGUAGAUAGCACAUGAUGAGUUCAAGUUUGAUUUCCUUGGUGACAAUGCUGUAAGCGUGUCCUCACAACGAAUUUUAGAUAAGCUAACAGCAAAUUCACUUCCAUCCCCAAUUUACCUGCUAACAAAUUUCAGCUCUUCCCCUGUCUUUGUCCAUCUAUCCUUUAAUUUAAAAAGCCUCUAGAGUACACAGCAACAGUAAUAAAGAGAAAAUAACAAAGAUCACAAUUCCAGGAAGUAUACAUUUCAGAAGAUAAGAGAGAUGACAGGAAAGUAAUUGUGCCCUCAUUGUGUGUGAUUGGUUAGCAGAAAUAUGAACCUCAAUUAUAACAUGAAGGAAAUUUUGGAAAUAUCAUAGUAAAAUGCCUUAAGAAGAACUGGGAUUUCCAAGGAAUUGAUGGAGCAAAAUUUGAUCCAAGCAGAAGCUUCAUUCCAAGGAAAGAAAACAAAUAAGACCAAGGAGUCAAGCUGCAUUUGGUAUGAAAUGUGGGCAGAGAGUCUCAUUUAUUCUUUAAAAGCGGAACAAGCAUACCCUUGGGAGGGAAUAGGGAGGCAAAGUUUAGAAAAGAGGCUGAAGGAACACCCAUUUAGAGCCUGCCCCACACGUGGCCCAUACAUAUACAGCCACCAAACUAGAUAAGAUGGAUGAAGCAAGGAAGUGUAGACUGACAGGAACUGGAUAUAGAUCUCUUCUGAGAGACACAGCCAGAAUACAACAAAUACAGAGGCAAAAGCCAGCAGCAAACGACUGAACUGAGAAUGGGACCCCCGUUGAAGGAUUCAGAGAAAGGACUGAAAGACCUUGAAGGGGAUUGAGACCCCAUAUGAACAACAAUGCCAAGCAACCAGAGCUUCCAGGGACUAAGCCACUACCCAAAGACUAUACAUGGACUAUACCCUGGGCUCUAACUGCAUAGGUAGCAAUGAAUAGCCUAG